rnacentral:sRNA from 1 species
AACUCGGUCCGACGUCGGUGGGUUAUCAUUGAAUCUGAACCCUUCCCAUUGGCACCACCUGGACCGUUGU